rnacentral:rRNA from 1 species
CAUGUAGGCGGCAUGACAAGUCUGGUGUGAAAUAUCUCGGCUCAACCGAGAAAACGCACUGGAAACUGUCAAGCUUGAGUAUAGGAAGGGAAGCUAGAAUUCCUGGUGUAGGGGUGAAAUCUGUAGAUAUCAGGAAGAAUACCGGUGGCGAAGGCGAGCUUCUGGCCAUAUACUGACGCUGAGAUGCGAAAGCGUGGGGAGCGAACAGGAUUAGAUACCCUGGUAGUC